GGGAAGGUGGCUCAGUGGUAGAGCGCUUGCCUUGCGUGCAUGAAGCCCUGGGUUCGAUUCCUCAGCACCCCA
rfam:Dipodomys ordii contig_59834, whole genome shotgun sequence.